GCGGACGGGUGAGUAAUGCUUAGGAAUCUGCCUAUUAGUGGGGGACAACAUUCCGAAAGGAAUGCUAAUACCGCAUACGCCCUACGGGGGAAAGCAGGGGAUCUUCGGACCUUGCGCUAAUAGAUGAGCCUAAGUCAGAUUAGCUAGUUGGUGGGGUAAAGGCCUACCAAGGGCGACGAUCUGUAGCGGGUCUGAGAGGAUGAUCCGCCACACUGGGACUGAGACACGGCCCAGACUCCUACGGGAGGCAGCAGUGGGGAAUAUUGGACAAUGGGCGAAAGCCUGAUCCAGCCAUGCCGCGUGUGUGAAGAAGGCCUUUUGGUUGUAAAGCACUUUAAGCGAGGAGGAGGCUACUGAGAUUAAUACUCUAGGAUAGUGGACGUUACUCGCAGAAUAAGCACCGGCUAACUCUGUGCCAGCAGCCGCGGUAAUACAGAGGGUGCGAGCGUUAAUCGGAUUUACUGGGCGUAAAGCGUGCGUAGGCGGCUUUUUAAGUCGGAUGUGAAAUCCCUGAGCUUAACUUAGGAAUUGCAUUCGAUACUGGGAAGCUAGAGUAUGGGAGAGGAUGGUAGAAUUCCAGGUGUAGCGGUGAAAUGCGUAGAGAUCUGGAGGAAUACCGAUGGCGAAGGCAGCCAUCUGGCCUAAUACUGACGCUGAGGUACGAAAGCAUGGGGAGCAAACAGGAUUAGAUACCUGGUAGUCCAUGCCGUAAACGAUGUCUACUAGCCGUUGGGGC
rnacentral:rRNA from 1 species